rnacentral:lncRNA from 1 species
AGUUAGUAGUUGGUCCCAGUCAGUAACACUCUGGGAGGGCUCAGGCCACAUCACGAAAUGUGACAGGAUAGCCUUGAACUCAUCAAUUGCUGGGUAAGAAAGAAUUUUAAUGCAAUGGCAAACAACCAAUCAAACAAGCAAACAAAAACAAUAAACCCUUCCUUGAGGACCAAGAAGACAUUGAUUAGCUAACCUAAGAGCUCCAGGUGGAGACCUAGGUCCUGAUUGGGUUUCUGAAUUUGACCACUAGGCAGAAAACUAGCACCCAAAACCAGUUGGAAUAAAAUUACCCACCUACAGUGGAGCCAAGGCCCCCAGAUCCUUUUUGUCAGCAAGGUAAGCUGUCAUCAGUUGGAGGUAAGCAGAAGACAGUAGAGAGUACAGAGCCCUGGACUGUGACUCAGAGGAUGAGCACCAGAUCCAGUUUGCUGUGCCACAGUGCUCAGCAUGAUGUAAACUCCACUGCGGACAGAUGCAGCCAAGAAGACAGGUCACCUUCUACCAACUCCCACCAGAGGAAACUCUUCCCCAGGACCCAGUACGUUGGCCCUCUGACCCUGCACACAGCACAUGAUGCUGAGGUUCAGUGCUGAACAAGAGCUACUGAGAGCCAGAGAUUCACUUCUUCCAUGGAGCCCCACUCAUGGAUGGAGGCUCUGUCCCGGGUCCAGUGCCACUGGGAACACUGGGUCUCUGGUUUCUAGCUCUGUCCUAUGGCAGAGGUUCCACCCCACAAUAACCGAAGUGCUGAGAAGGUGGGAAGCUCCUGCCCGACCCUCCACUGAGAGCUCAGCUCCUAGGCUGAGGAAUAAAACAGCUCAACUUUGUCUACACC